rnacentral:rRNA from 1 species
UACGUAGGGCGCAAGCGUUAUCCGGAAUUAUUGGGCGUAAAGAGCUCGUAGGCGGUUUGUCGCGUCUGCCGUGAAAGUCCGGGGCUCAACUCCGGAUCUGCGGUGGGUACGGGCAGACUAGAGUGAUGUAGGGGAGACUGGAAUUCCUGGUGUAGCGGUGAAAUGCGCAGAUAUCAGGAGGAACACCGAUGGCGAAGGCAGGUCUCUGGGCAUUAACUGACGCUGGAGGAGCGAAAGCGUGGGGAGCAAACAGGA